rnacentral:tRNA from 1 species
GCGAGAGUGGCGGAACUGGCAGACGCACCGGAUUUAGGAUCCGACGGUUUUUAUGCCGUGGGGGUUCAAUUCCCCCCUCUCGCACCA